rnacentral:rRNA from 1 species
GACAAACGCUGGCGGCAUGCCUAACACAUGCAAGUCGAACGGACAGAACAGGGAAGCUUUUCGGAGUGGAACUGGAAAGUUAGUGGCGGAUGGGUGAGUAACGCGUGGACAACCUACCUUGUAAAGGGGAAUAACCUCGAGAAAUCGAAGCUAAUACCCCAUAAUAACCUUGCUUCGCAUGAAGUAAGGAGGAAAGGCGGCCUUAGCGCUGUCGAUACAAGAUGGGUCCGCGUCUGAUUAGCUAGUUGGUGAGGUAAAGGCUCACCAAGGCGACGAUCAGUAGCCGGCCUGAGAGGGUGAACGGCCACAUUGGGACUGAGACACGGCCCAAACUCCUACGGGAGGCAGCAGUGGGGAAUCUUCCGCAAUGGGCGAAAGCCUGACGGAGCAAUGCCGCGUGAGUGAAGAAGGCCUUCGGGUUGUAAGACUCUGUCCUUAUCGAAGAGAGAGUGUUGUAGUAACUGACAAUACUAGGACGGUAGAUGAGGAGGAAGCCCCGGCUAACUAUGUG